AUGCAGAGUGACUUGUUUUCAAGUAGGGAUAAAUGACAUUAAGAUAAUUGAAUCCCAGAUUGAUUUUCAGCAAAUCAAGCAUCUUCU
rnacentral:pre_miRNA from 1 species